UAUUUUCUAAGUUUGAUAUAUGAAUAUGUACACUUACUACGAAUUCGAACAUGUAAGUAUUUAAAUUGUGCAUGGAUGUGUAUUAAAAUAAGAAGUUUGAUUGACAAAAUAGUAACGUAGGGACCUUAAAAGACAAGGAAACCUGUUUAGCAGGUAUAGAGAGGGAGGGUUCACAUGGAAUAUAUGUGGUGAACCCUACUGUGGAUUCGACCUUAGCCAGACGUGGUUGAACAAUGAUUAUCAGCACUCAUAUGGGUUGGGAUGUGAGGAUGACUGGUGGCUGUGGUGCCCAUACAAACUAGGGUAUAGGGACGACUAAUUAUUAUGACACCUCAUAUAGGUAAGGGGUACGAGGAUGGUUGAUGAUUGUGGUGAUCAUAUGGGUUGGGGUAUGAGGAUAACUAGUUGUUUUUAUGAAAAUAUUGAGUAUCUACAUGCAUAGGGGAUCUGACGCGGGAAGAUAGAAUCAACUUCUGUAAUCUUCAUAAUGUAUGCAAUAUAGAGACCUAAUUGCCUAAUUAACC
rnacentral:lncRNA from 1 species